GGUUGUACAGUUAUGUUGUAUAGCAUUAUGAAGUAUAGCACUUUUUCUGAAAGGAAAUAUUCUCUGGGUUGUACUUUUAAGACUUUAUUUUUUUUCAAAUUCUCAUUAAUAUUCAAGAUAAUGAGAAAAAUCUGAUUAUUUGAGUUAAUAAAGAUUGAAAGAUUAAAAAUAAGGUUGUCAUUGGUAGCCAUUUUAAUUUAUUUUUGUUAUUAUUAAGUUUUUAUUAUUUUAACCUUUUUUAAACAAUAUCAUUGUUGUCAUAGAAAUACACAUUAUUGUAAUCAUCUUACCAUAAUAUGACGUAUACCAAAUAUUGUAUUGUUGACAAAGCAACACUAUCAACUGAACUCUACUCAGAAUAGUUUUUUUGUUAGCAAUAGUUUAUCGUUGCUUACAGAUGUACAUUAAAUUCCCAUCUGUAUCCUACCUUCCCAAUUUCCCAUCUACAACAUUGGAUACGCCCAAGAGCGCAUCUUUUUUUUUACCACUAAAUACGAUUUAUAUUGAACCUCUUUUCGUCGCAUUUUCAAACAUUUCAGUUUAAUUUAACAAUUUAACAAAUUUUGCUAAAAUAUUACAAAAAUUACAGGAGAAAUUAAAAAACUAAUUACUUACUCAUAAAUCAGAUUAAAAGUUAAACAAAAAAGGUCGAUUGUUGUUUUUCUAUUGGGGCAAUGAUAGAAAACAUAAGCUAUCAAAAUGUUAAAUAAUGAAAUCGCUGCGCUGCAAUUCGAAAAAAAAAAUAACUUUUUUCAUCUUAUUUGGUAUUUCCCAAUAAUUAUGAAAAAAAACUUUAGAUAUUAAAAUACGACUUUCUUUAUCAGUGGUUAUAUAAUCAAAGGAACAAACUCGAUAAAUUGUCAUUUUUAGAUUGGUACAUUGUUUCAAGAGUUCUCGUGUAUAAAAAUGGACAUUUAAAAAUCCAUUAUGACUACGAAACGCCAGUUCAUCUAUGACGUAGUUAUGGUAUUAUAUUUAUAUGGCAUAUAAGUUCAAAAUUUCAGAUUCCAUUCCUAUUGUCAUAGACUUGAACGCAACGAGGAAUGUAUCGGUUUUACUAUGAUGUGUGUCUAACAAUGUCAAAAAAUGAAUAAAUAUUCGAUUAUUCGUAUUUGAUACAAAUAUCCAAUUGUAGGGGUACGAAUAAAGGUGCCAACUAUUCACAAUAUAAAUCGAUAGCAGGAUACAAAAUAAUGUUCAUCCGAGUAUAUAAUAUUGUUUUGGACGUAUUGCGUCAUGUUAAUUCGUUCGGAUAUAAUAGCCCGAAGUGAUUAUAAAAGUAUUAUUGCUAUCUAUUGAAUAUACGAUGGCGUUCUCUAGAAAGUGAUGGUUUGAAAAGUGCAUCCGCGAGUUAAUAAUAUUCGACCAGAAGGAUUGAAAAAAAAUAAAUAAUGACAAAUUCUCUAUACACCGUUAUACAUUAUCGUGCCCAUUCAACCGGUGGUUAUGUCGUUGUCCAAUAACGCGAUCGUCUACAGCACUCUCGAAAUCGCGGUAACAUAACCACGAUAAAUAUACGUACUUGAAUAUCGGGGGGAAAAAUAGCGUUUGGUUGUGUUUAGUACACGGCGGACGUCAUACGAGACGUCAACACUAUCAUUAUUGUAUUACUUUAAACAUCAUCUACACAUAUGUACGGCAUGUUAAUAUUAUUAACUAGUAUAAUUAUUAUUAUUAUACGAUUUGCAAAAUUUCGUUAAAAUCAAACAAAACGAGUAUAACUAGAGGGGUGGAGGAGGGGGGGGGAGUAACGUGGGUGAUAAACCAUUCCCAAAACCUUUUUUUUACGUUAAAUAAUUAUCGUAAGUUUUUUUUUUUAAGUGCUAUUAAAACUUAUUAAGUAUGUAUGUUAUUUUUUAAAUCACCCCCCAAAAUAAGGUCCUAGUCACGCCACUAAAAACGAAUAGUAAAGAUUUAAUACUAGGGCGGUUGUGCCACUGUUGUAAAUGGAAGUUGGGAAUGUAUAGGAUAAAUAAAAUUAUCUAAUUUAUAUUCGUUCUCGACGAUAAACUGUUGAAAACGAAAAACGAUUUUGGGCAAAAGUUCGGUUCAACAUGUUCUGAGAUUUGAACUUAAUGUUUAAAAAAAAAAAAAAACGGGUAUACUUCGUACCAUGGGUGAGUCACUGCAGUUGCAGGUGAGAAGUUGAUAAGGCAGAUGGGAAAUAUAAUGUACGAAAAUAUUAGUCGUUUCUUGUGAAAAAUGAUUCUGAGUGGGUUUGAAAGACCGUUAUAUUUACGAUUUGAAAAUAAUAUAUUUUGUAUACAUUUCACAAAUUUUAACAUAUCCCUGAAAUUUGUUAUCGACACAUAUAAUACCAUUUCGAACCCUUAAAUGAUCCUACACUGUAUAGUGAAUCGUGUUGUGGAAAAAUGUACAGGUAGUAGAACAUAGGGAAUAUAAAUCCACGGACAUUUAACCAAAUGUACCACGAAUAUUAGCCAUCCAGUCUAACGAAAUAUUUUACAUUGUGUUAUUAUUUUAUUAAUAUAUUUAAUAAUCGAUUGUUUCAUAAACAAAUAUAAGAGUCU